rnacentral:tRNA from 1 species
GCCGCCUUAGCUCAGUUGGCCAGAGCAAUCGCCUUGUAAGCGAUAGGUCGUCGGUUCGAACCCGACAGGCGGCUCCA